rnacentral:lncRNA from 1 species
UCGACGGGGUCCUGGAGCCGCGCUCGGGGAGGCGUCUUGGGCUCGCCCCGGAGCUUCCUCCCUGGAGCCGCGCCCUGCACCCGGCCUUGCCCGGCCCUAGCAGGGAAGCCAAGGCUUGUGGGGCGCAGGGACCCGGGCUCUGCGGGGUCCCGGUUCCGCCUCCCCACUCCUGCGUCUUCCCGCCCCUGCCGGGUUCUGGGAAGCCUCGCGCGGCUCUUCCGCAGCUGCUGCGCACCAUGACUCCUGUGAGGAUGCAGCACUCCCUGGCAGGUCAGACCUAUGCCGUGCCCUUCAUCCAGCCAGACCUGCGGCGAGAGGAGGCCGUCCAGCAGAUGGCGGAUGCCCUGCAGUACCUGCAGAAGGUCUCUGGAGACAUCUUCAGCGCAGGAUCUCCCAGCAGGUAGAGCAGAGCCGGAGCCAGGUGCAGGCCAUUGGAGAGAAGGUCUCCUUGGCCCAGGCCAAGAUUGAGAAGAUCAAGGGCAGCAAGAAGGCCAUCAAGGUGUUCUCCAGUGCCAAGUACCCUGCUCCAGGGCGCCUGCAGGAAUAUGGCUCCAUCUUCACGGGCGCCCAGGACCCUGGCCUGCAGAGACGCCCCCGCCACAGGAUCCAGAGCAAGCACCGCCCCCUGGACGAGCGGGCCCUGCUCAGGAGAAGCUGAAGGACUUUCCUGUGUGCGUGAGCACCAAGCCGGAGCCCGAGGACGAUGCAGAAGAGGGACUUGGGGGUCUUCCCAGCAACAUCAGCUCUGUCAGCUCCUUGCUGCUCUUCAACACCACCGAGAACCUGUACAAGAAGUAUGUCUUCCUGGACCCCCUGGCUGGUGCUGUAACAAAGACCCAUGUGAUGCUGGGGGCAGAGACAGAGGAGAAGCUGUUUGAUGCCCCCUUGUCCAUCAGCAAGAGAGAGCAGCUGGAACAGCCCAGAGAACUACUUCUAUGUGCCAGACCUGGGCCAGGUGCCUGAGAUCCAUGUUCCAUCCUACCUGCCUGACCUGCCCGGCAUUGCCAACGACCUCAUGUACAGUGCCGACCUGGGCCCCGGCAUUGCCCCCUCUGCCCCUGGCACCAUUCCAGAACUGCCCACCUUCCACACUGAGGUAGCCGAGCCUCUCUCAGACCUACAAGAUGGGGUACUAACACCACCCCCACCGCCCCCACCACCACCCCCAGCUCCUGAGGUGCUGGCCAGUGCACCCCCACUCCCACCCUCAACCGCGGCCCCUGUAGGCCAAGGCGCCAGGCAGGACGACAGCAGCAGCAGCGCAUCUCCGGCUCCAGUCCAGGGAGCUCCCAGGGAAGUGGUCGACCCCUCCGGUGGCUGGGCCACUCUGCUAGAGUCCAUCCGCCAAGCUGGGGGCAUCGGCAAGGCCAAGCUGCGCAGCAUGAAGGAGCGAAAGCUGGAGAAGCAGCAGCAGAAGGAGCAGGAGCAAAGUGAGAGCCACGAGCCAAGGUGGGCACUUGAUGUCGGAUCUCUUCAACAAGCUGGUCAUGAGGCGCAAGGGCAUCUCUGGGAAAGGACCUGGGGCUGGUGAGGGGCCCGGAGGAGCCUUUGUCCGCGUGUCAGACUCCAUCCCUCCUUUGCCGCCACCGCAGCAGCCACAGGCAGAGGAGGACGAGGACGACUGGGAAU